rnacentral:rRNA from 1 species
UGAGGGAAUAUUGGGUCAAUGGGCGAGAGCCUGAACCAGCCAAGUAGCGUGCAGGAAGACGGCCCUAUGGGUUGUAAACUGCUUUUAUACGGGGAUAAAGUGGGCCACGUGUGGCUUAUUGCAGGUACCGUAUGAAUAAGGACCGGCUAAUUCCGUGCCAGCAGCCGCGGUAAUACGGAAGGUCCGGGCGUUAUCCGGAUUUAUUGGGUUUAAAGGGAGCGUAGGCCGCCUUUUAAGCGUGUUGUGAAAUGUAGGGGCUCAACCCCUGCACUGCAGCGCGAACUGGAGGGCUUGAGUACACACAAAGUAGGCGGAAUUCAUGGUGUAGCGGUGAAAUGCUUAGAUAUCAUGAAGAACCCCGAUUGCGAAGGCAGCUUACUGGAGUGUAACUGACGCUGAA